rnacentral:tRNA from 1 species
GGGGAUAUAGCUCAGUGGUAGAGUGUAUGCUUCACGCACAAAGUCCUGAGUUCAAUCCCCAAACUGCCCC